GUUAUAUUCCAUGUAUGUUUAUCCACCAAAUAGGGUUCUUCACAACAUCUAGUUUUAAAGCAAGUUCAAUGUGGAUGAGAGUAGCAAACUAUCUCCUCAGCAUACAAAGGUAAGUAACAGUACUUAUACACUUGAUGAAGGACUGAGGAAUGUCUAUACCCAUCUCCUCAGCAACAGGAUAGAAAGGUGCACUGUAGGCCAGAAAGACAUCAAUGGCUACAAAAAUUUUAAAACUAAGAUGGUAGAUAAGCCCUAAGAUAACCUUUCUUCAAACAGAUUGGACUGGAAAUUCAUCAUACUAACUGUUUGCAUUCUUCAUUUUUUGGCUAAAGGAACAUGACAGAUAAAUGAGAUAAACUCAUGAAAUACCCUAAGAAAAGCUGAUAACCCUUUUCCCAAUAAAUUGAACAUCUCCAAUAACUAACAAAUUUCUUCAUAAAUUGCCAAUUUCAAAACAUUGUUUGGUCUUGACAAGUAAACUGCAGCACUUCCAUAUGCAAAAUCUAGCAAAAAUCAUAGGCCUAGAUAGGUAAGUGCACUAAACCAUAACAGUCCUCCUGGUUGCCUAUGACUUCAUGACUAAAUUCCUCAUCAUCCUACUCUUUGUGCAUUGUUAUUGGUUCCCAAACAAUUCCAUCUCUAGUUGAGCAAAUUCAUCAUCCUCUUGCUUCUGUUGUUGUGACUCAUCUUCAACUAGUUGCAGUUCCAAUUGUCGACCAAAUUCAUCAUCAUCUUGCUUUUCAUGAUGUUCAAGCUGUUGCCCUUGUGCUGGAGUGGUGUGCUGGUUCAAUCCUGUUUGCUGAUAGAAUGCUUCUCUUUGGAAAUUCCAGGACCCUGUGAUGUUCUCCACUACAUCUCCAAUCAAUUCUUUAUCAUCUGAUAUGUGCUGUAUAUUUUGGACGUCUACCACUUUGCUGGCCUCUUUCAAAAGAAAUUAAGUUGCUUAAUUGUGUGAAGAUAAUGUGGGAUUCCAAAAAUUGCUGAAGCUAUGUGAAAGAAUAAUCUGACAUUUUUUUCUUUUCAAAAUUUUGUCAAAUUCCAUCCACAGUAAUUACAUAAAUUGAUGCAUAAUUAUCCUAUAAUUGCUAAACUAGAGGGGGAUGUGGGAAUGAAGUGAAAACAAUGAACAUACCUUGGAUGGCUUGCUUCUUGGCCUCUGCAUAUUCUGUUGAUGUUUUCUUCAGUGUGUUAAAAUCUAAUUCCAUACCCAAGUCCAUGUGGAGGAAUUGUUCAAUGCGAGUAUUAGCAAAUAACUUCUUAUAUGCAAGUUGCACACGGGCAUUCUGCAACUCUGUGAGUUGAUUCACUGUCUGAGAAACAGAGGCUGCAUUUAAGUCCACAAACCCAAAGAGAAAGACGUUCUUCUCCAGCAUUCUGUUGACCAAUGUGGGUACAACUUUUAUACCCUGCUCUUUUGCAUCAAUGACAAGGAUCUUAAGUUUCUUCAGUUCUCCUGUCAGAUUAGACAUGGAAGAAAGAUGAAUGGGAAAAAUAAAGGACAAGUUUUAGCAAGCAUAUAACUCAAUUACUAAAGAUUCAACAUAAUUAAAACAAAUAAGAAGCCUCGAAAAGGGGGAAAAAAGCCAAUAAGCAUGUUCAAAUUGCAAUUAUGAACCUAAAAUCAACUGAUGAAAGAAAAUUCAUCAUAUUGAUGUUGUAAACACAGUGAGGAAAACUUUUUUCCCCUGCUGAAUACAAGGUAAGGGUGAUGGCAGAUUUUGUGAAACUAAUAUCGAAUAAAUCACAACAAUGCUCAGUUACCCCCUUAUCAAACAAAUUGUAAAAGUUCAAAUUUACAUUAUAAUACCAGUAUGUGUUAAUGGAAUAAUGGGCCAAAAGCCACACAGAUACUCUCUAAUAAACAAUUUUUAUGUCUAACAUAAACAGUCAAAGAAUUAAUUAAAAAGCCAAAUUGUAUAUCAUUUUCCUUCCAUAAAUGUAAAGAAAGUAGAAAAAUCACUUCACAUUAUGAAUGAUAGACAGUUAUCAAAAUAAAUUCUCAACUCCAAGCUCACACAAUAUAAGUUUCAUGCAGUAAAUACAAACUUACCAAGAGAGAGAUAGAUUUUAAAAGGAGGCUUGAAUGGUUGAGUCUCAUAUAGGCAGUAAAGGCAAUAUAGCCCACCUAGUCUUUUAGACAAAGAACCAGUACUGACCAUGUAACCUAUAGUAUGAGCAUACAGUGAUUGCAUAAAGAAAGCCAUAUUGGUGGAAGGAAUAGCGUCAAAGAUAUAAGUGAACUUCCUAGUGAGCCACACUUUCUUCAUAUCAGCAAAAGUUGUUGAUUCACCCUCAACAAAUUCAUUUAUGAGCUCAUCAAUGUCCUGCUUGAAUGGAGACAGACCCAUUUGAGAAUUGAAGAUUUCUGAAAUUGCAAAAUCGAAGCGCUUGCUAAUAGCAGACUGAAGAGAAAGAAAAACAACGAUAAAGGGUUUAAGCUAAAGCAGGUAAUCAAUUAGAGGUUUUAAUAUCGACGAUUAGGGAUUUUCUGAUCGGAGAUUCACUGGCUACAAUUGAACGAACAGCGGCCGUGAGUGUGGAGUCAGGCUGAAAAAUUUGAGAGAGAAUUUCUUCUUCAGAUGAGGGGACAGGAAUU
rnacentral:misc_RNA from 1 species